rnacentral:rRNA from 1 species
CCUACGGGAGGCAGCAGUGAGGAAUAUUGGUCAAUGGCCGGAAGGCUGAACCAGCCAUGCCGCGUGAAGGUCAGUGCCCUAUGGGCGUUAAACUUCUUUUGUGCGGGAGCAAUAAUGGUCACGUGUGGCCAGACGAGAGUACCGUACGAAUAAGCAUCGGCUAACUCCGUGCCAGCAGCCGCGGUAAUACGGGGGAUGCAAGCGUUAUCCGGAUUUAUUGGGUUUAAAGGGUGCGUAGGCUGUGAGGUAAGUCAGCGGUGAAAUGCCCCCGCUCAACGGGGUGAAGUGCCAUUGAUACUGCCUGGCUGGAAUGCGGAUGCCGUGGGAGGAAUGUGUGGUGUAGCGGUGAAAUGCAUAGAUGUCACACAGAACACCGAUUGCGAAGGCAUCUCACGAAGCCGCGAUUGACGCUGAUGCACGAAAGCGUGGGUAUCAAACAGGAUUAGAUACCCGAGUAGUC